GGCAACUUGGCUGAGUGGUUAUAGCGAUAGACUAGAAUAACUCAGACAAUCAGGCAAAAACUUGAUAUGUCUAUUCUAGAUUCAUCUAUUUCCUUCGGGAGCGUAGGUUCAAAUCCUGCAGUUGUCG